AUUAGCAGCUAGCUUUCUGCAACUCUCACAUGGUCGCUCACUGAAGCUAAGCAGGGCUGUGUCCGGUCACUACCUGGAUGGGAGACCACACAAGAAAGCUAGGUUGCUGCCAGAA
rnacentral:rRNA from 1 species